AACGAACGCUGGCGGCAGGCCUAACACAUGCAAGUCGAGCGAGGACUUCGGUCCUAGCGGCGGACGGGUGAGUAACGCGUGGGAACGUGCCGUUUGCUUCGGAAUAGCCCUGGGAAACUGGGAGUAAUACCGGAUGAGCCCUUUGGGGGAAAGAUUUAUCGGCGAAGGAUCGGCCCGCGUUGGAUUAGGUAGUUGGUGGGGUAAUGGCCUACCAAGCCGACGAUCCAUAGCUGGUUUGAGAGGAUGAUCAGCCACACUGGGACUGAGACACGGCCCAGACUACUACGGGAAGCAGCAGUGGGGAAUCGUAGACAAGGGGGGAAACCCUGAUCUAGCCAUGCCGCGUGAGCGAUGAAGGCCUUAGGGUUGUAAAGCUCUUUCAGCUGGGAAGAUAAUGACGGUACCAGCAGAAGAAGCCCCGGCUAACUCCGUG
rnacentral:rRNA from 1 species